UACGUAGGCAGCGAGCGUUGUUCGGAGUUACUGGGCGUAAAGGGCGCGUAGGCGGCUCUGCACGUCCGUUGUGAAAUCGCCCGGCUCAACUGGGCGGGGUCAGCGGAUACGGCGGAGCUUGAGCAAGCUAGGGGGCAAUGGAAUUCCCGGUGUAGUGGUGGAAUGCGUAGAUAUCGGGAGGAACACCAGUGGCGAAGGCGGUUGCCUGGGGCUUUGCUGACGCUGAUGCGCGAAAGCGUGGGGAGCGAUCCGG
rnacentral:rRNA from 1 species